AAACUGCACAAAAAAUGGAGCUGGGGGGUUCCCUGGUCCCCGAUGUUGGGGCGGGGAGCGCGGCGCCGAGGGAGGGGGCGGCGCAGACCAGCCAAGGGGACACCUGGUCGAGCGCAGCCGCCGCUCCGCUCGAGCCCUGCGCUCCAGUGCCCCCAGUGCCCCCACUGGCUGGAGAGCUCGCCCAGACCGGGGGUCUUCCUCCCUCGCUGACAGAUUCUAACUGUUAGAAGAGUACCAAUUCUGGAAAACAACCAAAGUUUCUUUGAAUGAAUGCCCACGUAAUGCAUUGGAAUAUAAUAAGAGAUUAAGGUAUAACUAAUGUUGUU
rnacentral:lncRNA from 1 species